rnacentral:lncRNA from 1 species
GCUAAUGUGGACUCCAUCGGUAUUAGGGCUUGAAGGAGGUGCUAACACUCUAAGAUGGGAUGCAACAACCCGCAUGCAACUAGUGAAUGCCAAGUGCAUUUGCUGGCUAUUUAACAGGGUAAGGUUCUUCACUUUCAGGUUCUUGCAUUUAUGAAAAGUGAGGGCCUGCAGUGUAAAUGUGGUUUCAUUUAAUACCAGGCACCGAAUAAUAUGUUACUACCUCCAUGUUAAAUAACUGUCACUAACCGUUGGAGCAGGAUGGCAUGGCUGCAAAAAGGACACAUUUUGAAGACACUUUCAGUUACCCAGAUGAUUAGACUUGAAGUAAACAUGAAUUUAAGGUUGUAAGGAGCUAGGCAAUACAAUUGUGGAGUUGGUCUUGCAUGAUCUGGCCCACCAU